GUGUGUGUGUGAUGUUUAAGAGAAAGAUGUUGAAGUGGAUAUGUGGUCUUAUUAGGAAAGAUAAGAAAAGACAACUACAAAUGUAGUAUUGUGAGGUCUAUUAGUUUCGACAAAGGAUAAAAUAAGGUAGAAUCAUUUAAUACAGCAUCACAAUGUGCUAAGAAAAACCUACAAAUGCAGUAGUUUCUAAUAGCUGUUCGAGGAUGGAUAGAGUUUGAUCUAAGAAGACCUUAUUAUAAACUAUAAAUAAAGAUCUAAAUACUCUUAACUUAGUUGAAGAUAAAUAUUUACUGAUCUCAAUGACGACAAAAGACCCAAGCAACUGGCUUCAAAUAGUUGGUAUUUUAUGACUUUGUUGCUGUUAUUGUAUCUAUAACCUGGAGUUGGAGUUGAAAUUAGUUGGGACAUUCCUUGAGUAUGGUCCCAUGUCCAAUCUCAUGAUUGUUGCUCCUGAUGGUUAGGGUCCUGCUGGAUAGUACGAGGUGCUUACUUUUAACUGAAUAGCAACUGAAGCAUGGACAUGCUUUUAUCAUAUUAAUGAGCGAUAUUCUCUUUUCUUGAUCUUCUUCUCCCUCCUAUUUUGCCUUCUCUCUCUAUAUAUAUGUUAUUCUAAUGUAGUUACUCCUUUGACUUGUUGUCAUCAGCCCUGCUAUGUUUAUAUUAUUUAUUUCCCUUCUCUCCUUUGUGUUUGCUACCUGCUGAUAUUUUCCUUGGGCUUACUGCUAAUUUUGAUUCAGUAUUCUUUGGUGCCACCAUAUUUCUCUUCAUUGUUUUUUCCUGGAGCUUACUCUACCAUGACCUCUGUUCCUCAUCCUUUUUAACUGCUGCGACUACCUUGCUUUCCACCAACUUCUCAUCCUUCUCUUCUUGUUCCUGUUGCAUUGCUGCUGGUCUUUAGUAUCACUGCCCUUGAUAUCUUUAGUAUUUCUUCUUAUUCCUGUUGCGUAGGGUGUCAAGUUUUGCUUCCCCGUCAACUGCUUGAUGAAAUCAUUACUGAGUAUUUAACAUUUUGGUGUUUUUCUGUUUCAGGCACAAGCUGCUGGCCGUGGUGGUGCUCCCACUGGUAGGGGUGUUGUGCCUCCCAUAAGAAGGUAAUUACCUUUGGUCACUUCUUGCUCUGGUGUAGAAAUUGCUAGAUGAGAGACCAUAUAUGCGAAAAUUCCUAAAUGUUUCUAAGGUCCUUAUGUUCAUCCUGGCAUGUAAUGACCUAUCACUUAUUUACUGGAACUCAGUGUUAUUGCAAGUUUCUUUCAGGAUUUGGUGACAUUGUGGCAUGUAAUGGCCUAUCAUUUCUGCCCUUUUUUGUUGAAUCAACCAUCUUAAAUUUUAAUGGUAAUGGAAUUCUGAAAGAUCUAUGGACAAUUAACAGCAUCCUAAGCAUUUUAGCUUGAGUGCAAACAUGAAACUCCAUAUUACCAGUUGAGUAGCGGAUAUUAUGCAGUGACUUUGAUCAUGAAGUUUAUUCCACAUUAGCCAUGAACAUGUUGUCCAUCAAAGCCUGCCUCUUCACCACCGAGAGAUGGCAAAGUUGCUUGAGAGAAUCAUGUGUUGAACUGAUCGAAUAUUUUUGUGUUCUUUUUCCUCUUGGUUUUUUCCAUGUGCUUACAUAGAUACACAUACAAAAUGUGCAUGUGCACACACAUUACCUUGUAGUUUUUGCAUACAAGAUUAGUGGAAUCUAAAUACAAGUUUAAAGUUCCAAUUGAUGUCAACAUAUGAACACAGACCUAAGCAAUGAAAGCUGACACCGCUAAAGCAACAAACAAUCUUGAAGCCUGAUUACUAAAAGUUCAUUGCAAAUCCACAUGUCAGAUGUGAGAUUUGUGUUGUCUCCACACAAAGCAACGGCUUGCUUAAAGUGCUAAUCCUUUUCUCAUCUAUUCGAGCUCAUGACUUCAAUAAUUAGAUUUUGAUCAACAUGAAGGCCUUUGUUUAUUGUUUAUUGUUCAUGGAAAUAUUUUGUUCUCUUACUCCAAAAAGAGUAAGAGAUCAAAAUAAACAGAGUAGAGUGCAAUUCACGUAUUGUUUAUUGUUUUAUUCAAGAGAAAGA
rnacentral:lncRNA from 1 species